AGCCCUGAACAUGGAGGGGAACCAGGCCCGGUGGCUGAGCAGCUGGGAAGGGACGGCUUCCCGGGGGCACCCUUCUGUGGCUUCCCGCAGGCCUGGAGGAGAGCCCGAGGGAGGAGGGCUGCCUCUCCAGCAGCCAGCGCUCAGAGCUUGCAGGCCUCGCUGCAGAAGGGGCGGCAGGCCUCGGGGUACCAGAGAGGCUCAGGGAAGUGGGAAGGUGCGUGAGGCCUGUGGCCGCUCGGUGAGUCCUCAAGGGCACCACGGAGCGGCCAGAGUUGGGAGUGGGGAGACGAGUCUCCAGGCAGGAGGGACGGCGUGUGCAAAGGCUCAGAGACCCGUGGGAGGCCUGGGAGCAGCUCCGACGGCCCGGAGCGCAGAGCGCGGGGACCGUCGGCCACCGGACUGAGCGGGUGCUCAGUCUGGCGGAUCUCCUUGGCGACUGGCCUUGGCGGGGCUUCUGGGAGGGGAAACUGAGGCAGAGGAGCAGUCUGGGGAACACGCUGAAUUCACUUUGGGGGCACUGAUCUGCGGGUGCCUGGGGAGUCCGCUGGAGGGGCUGCUGGGAAGGGAGCAACAGUGGCCCUGGACUGUGCUGGCCCCCAGGCUUGGCAGAAAGUGGGUUCCGGGGAGCGAGGGGGACGCGCCUCAGCAGACGUCACAGGAAGCCAGAGACAGCCCUGGUCGCUCGGCCCGAGAACUGGCGUGUGUUGGCCCAGGGCCCACGGGAAGCCCGGGCGACGGCCAGGGAGGUCCCAGGGGAGAGAGCGGAGGGCCUGUGGUCCAGCGUGCGGCCCGCAGGGUGAGGUCAGCCCUGAGCUCCGCGGGCCUGGGUCCGUCACCUCCCGAGCCUCGGUUUUCUCGCCCGGAGCUGGUGGCCGAGGCCGCACAGAGCUGAAGAGCUGCGCAGGCAGAGCAAGGGAGGUGACCGGGCGCAGUGGCCACCUACGUCCCGGCGUUGCCCAGACACGGCAGGAGGUGGGACCCCAGCAGCGCGUCCCCGGCCACGCCCGUGGGGGAGAGGAGGCCUCUGCCCUGCCAGCCCCUCCGCCCCGCCCGCUGGAGCCAGAGGGCGGAGGAGGCCUGUCCCUGUCGGGUGUAGGAGGGGAACGGAUGACAGCACCCUUCUCCACUGUCCCUCGGAGCUGCUGGCACGGGGUCCUGGCCAUUGUCCCCACCCUCAGAUCCUGACUCAGGGUCAGGCUGGCCAGAGGUUGCAGACUUGGGGCCGACCCUGGUCCCUCACCGGGCUGUGCUGGGUCCACACGGAAUUUUUUUCUAAUGAGUGGAGCUAAUAUUUAAAAAUCUGAAGACAAAACAUAAAAACCUGUUUGGCUCCCCUUGGAAAAUCAGAGCAUCCCCGGCACCAGCCCGUUCCCAGGGGCCACACUGCUGGAGCUCAGAGGCCUCAGCCCUGGAGAUGAAGCUGGUGCCGCAGUCCCCACCGCUCCCGCUUGUCUCUCUGCAAACAAGGCCAGGCACGGCCCUCAGCAGCACACUCACGGCUCCCUGCACCGGGGCCAGGGUGCUGGGUUUCCAGCGUGACCCUCCUCUCUCCCUCCACCACCAGGGCAGCCCCCCACCUGCGGGCCCCUCCCUCUGCCCCGCAAGACCCAGAACCCCGCCUGGGGGAUGGAGGUGGGCGGGGCUUGGCGGGCCGCGGGCACCUUGGCGGGAGGCAGAUCCGGCUGCUCCAGACGUGUCGCUGGGCCGGGUCACACUCCUCAGCUAGCUCAUGGCCGAGGCAUGCGGGCCCAGGCGGUGCCAUGCCCCGUGGGCGCCUGGGCAGCCCGGCACCCCGGAUCCAGCGGCUGUGUGGCCUUGGGGCAUCACCUCACCUCUCUGAGCACAAGGAGAGGCCGUGGCGUGGAGCCUCGCGUGGAGCCCUGGGGUCAGUGGCAGAUACAGCACCCAGACUCCAGAGGGGCACCUUGCAGGGGACACCAAAGCCCAGACCCCAGGACCAGUGCAGCUGCCUCGAGAGCCGGUGACCCUAGCAAGCCGCUUCUCCAUCUGGACACGGGGAGCAAGGCCACAGCCACUCCAGUCUCAGUCGAGGGGACAGAGCCACUCGCUGACCGUUUCCUGCGGGCCAGGCACUGGGGCCCAGCAGGCCACAGCAGGGUCAGAGGUUGCUGCCCGUGAGUGGCAGGUGGACAGGCUGCUUUGGGAUCUGAGAGCUCGGGGAGCUGGCGACGGGCACGGGGCACCGGUGAUGGGCACGGGGCGCCAGGAGCCGCCUGCAAGGGGCGGCAGGGCAGGAGGCCGCCCAGCGCCCAGCGAGCCCCUCCCCCGCCCCAAAGCCCCGGUGGCCCACCACCCGCAGGCCCAGAGCUCUCUGCACAGGCUCCCGCCAAGGGGGCCCCCCGUGCCCGGGCCCUCGCGCCAGCGCAGUCCACACUGCUCCCUGGCUCCUCUGCCCUGCUGUCCCCUGGUCCCCUGGGCCCUCUGGUUCUUCCUCUCCCACUCGGGGAUCCAGCUGCUUGCAGCUCAGCUGCUCUUGGGCCAGGAGUUGGGACGGUGAGGUCCUGUCCAGAAGCAGGGUCCCUGGGGCAGGUCCCAGCUGCCCGGCGCCAUCUCCCUGCUCCUUGAAUGCACUUGCCGUGGCCUCUGUCACCCAGGGCAGGAUGGGGAGGUGGGAGAUGGGUCUGUCACUGGUCCUCUCUGGACCCUGGCUUUUCUGCUCUGAGAAACGGGCGGGACGCUGGCCUUCCACAGGGGUUCUGUGCACUCAGGGGCUGUUGCCGCCUGGUGCUGGUGUUCGGGGGAAGGGGUGCAUCUUUGCCCAGACCAGCUCAGGGCUGCCAGGGAUGGUUUGGGGGAAGGGUGCCUCAGGGUCCCCAGGGCAUCCCCUGAGUUACCAGAGUGCUUUCUGGGUGCCCAGCCCCGGCUACGAGUCUGGGCAGGAAAGAGGUUGGACAUCUGGGAUUCAAGUCCAGCUGUGCCACUAACCAGCUGUGCAACCUGGGCAAGUUACCUAACCCCUCUGGGCCUGUUUUCUCAACUGGGAAAUGGGGAGAAGGAGGGCACUGGUCUCCUGGGGUCCCCAGGGAAGCCCGAGGCAUCACAGUCCUGCAGUGCACCCAGCAACCUGCUCGUCCACGCCGCUGCCGUUGCCACUUUGGGCCGGUGUGUGGCUCAGGUGUCCAUCACCUGCUGCACCUGGGUUUCCUCACCUGACGUGGGGUGGCCCCAGGUGUCCUGGCAGAGUGGCCCUAAGGCCCAGAGUCUAAUGCCCACAAACAGGCCUGGAGCAGACACACCCCGUGAUUCCAUUUUUUAAGAUUUCAAGUGCAGAAUUGAUUUAAUUCAAAACCAUCAAGUCACUGAUGAUCUGCCAAGAGUCCCAUGAAAUCCUCGUGGUCCCUCCAGCCCGACAGACGCCCACUUGGUCUCAUCUAACUUCACUUAAUAAGAAGAGGAAGAAACUGCAGGCCCGGGACGCUCCCUGCAACCCCGAGAGCCAGCGACGCCCCGACCCUGCCGGGAUCGGGAUUGCGACUGUGCAGCUGGGCCGAGUGGGUGUGUCCUGGACCCUCGGUCUCGUCUUCUCCAGAGUCUCUGUGCGGCCUUCCCUGCCGUCCAGUCGCAGCACCCUGCUCUGGCUCAGCCCACGCUGUCACUUGUCAAGGGCUCCUGUAUGCAAAGUAAGGUCUGUCCCCCGCCGUCCCAGUCUCCCUCCCCACCUCCCAGCGGGAAAUCUGAUGCCACCCGGUUCCCAGGAGGGGACAGUGGGCAAGGCGGGGGGUGGCCAGGGAUGCUGCCCAGGGAGAGAAGGAAGUGGGGGGCUGGGGCCCGGCUGCGGCUGACGCAGCCGUGAUGUCAGAGACAGGCCACAGGCGGCGGCCGGGCUGAUGUGCCCUCCUGCGGGCCUGGCCGGGCGCCUCCCGCGCCCCCUUAACCCCUUCCCGGCCUCCCUUUCCCCGGGGCCCGGCCUUGCCCGCAAGAUUCCCAGAUUUCACAACCGGGGCUGGCGCUGAAUCAUGUACAGUAAGUCUGGGGAGAGAAACUCCCGGCCGCCUGGCGUCCCGGGACAGGACGGCCGCCAAGCUGCCCUCCCUCCCCAGCCCACGGCCGCCGGGAGCUCGGCUGCUGAGCAGCUGGGGGGCGCAGGGAGGACGGACAGCCUCUCUGGGCUGUGCCAGGAAGCAAGGGCAGUGUGGUCCCUGGGACCCGAGGCUCUGGAGCUCUGGGGCAGGCCACAGGAUCGGGGUGGCCUGCGCUCAGUGGUGGCCGGCCACCGAACGGCUGGUGACCUGGAGUAGUCCCCCUGUAGCUCUGAGCUGGUUUCCUUAUCUGGAGAACGGGCGGUCGCAGGCGCUCCUGGGGUCACGGCGAGGACUGAGCCAGAUGACCCCCGCGCAGUGCUGAGCACAGGAAGUGCCAGUAAACACUGCGGUUGCCGUGAUGCCGGGUCCCGAUGACAUGCAGAGACGUCCAGUCCUUGGGGUCUGUCCCUGCGGGACGGCCCUGCCCCCUGCGCUUUAAAAAAAGCCUUCGUUCCAUCCAGACGGUGGCUGAGCUCGGCCAUUCCGGAUGUGCUUCUGGGUCCCGCAGACGGGACAGCAGGGGACGGGACGCAGGGGACGGGACAGCAGGGCACUAGAAAGGCAUCCCCGGGCUGCAUUCUAGCCGAGGGAGCCGGACGUCGGAGGCCCUUUCUGUGGGUGACCCGUGCGAGGGGCCGCAGCGCCUGGGCGGGGCCCUGGAGCUGCCAGGCAGUAAUUAACCCCUGCAGCACCCUCUGAAGUGGGUACGGGAGGCAGACCUGUUAUUAAGCCUAUUUUACAGGAAGGAGCGGCUGGUGGAGAGCCCCUCGUCCCAGCUGCAGCUACGUCUUGAGCCCACAGGGUGCCUGCUCCUGCCUUGUCCCCUCUCAGGCCUACGGGACCCAGGGUUCCCAGCUGAUGCAGUGGAUUGGAACCUGGCUCUGCUGUGUGACCCUGGACAAGUCACUGCCCUUCUCUGGGCCUCAGUUUCCUCUUCAGCCACACAGGGGUGAUCAUAACCACCUAGGUAGCUUUGGCCUGAGCAAAGAGCACCAGACUCACCUCUGUCUGUCCCUUUCCUGUCUCCCCCUCUGACCACACCAUCCUCCUUGCUGUUUCCUGACAGGUCAAGCCGCUUUCUACCUCAGGGCCUUUGCGUGUGCUCUCUCCCCUGCCUGGAAUGGACUUGCUUUCGAUCCCCUCACCUUCCUUGGCUCAAAUGUCAGCCUGGUCCGCUUCCCAUUCCUCACCCUGUUACAAUCCUCGGGUGCCCAUGCAGGUGUCUCGCUAUUAUCUUCUCUGUGUUCUUUUUGGCGUACAGCACAGGAGUUUUUGUCUGUUUGGUUCAGGGUGUGUGCGCAGAGCUCAUCAGGGCUGAGCACAUAGUAGGCGUUCAGGGAACAACUUCUUCCUCCCCCUCUCCUCUUGCUGCUGCAGGGCCAGCUGGGGAUGCCUCUUCACUGCUCUGGUCCCUGUGUCCUCUUGGGGACAAAGGACGGCAGGACGUGGGUGUCUCUGAAGGACUCAGGUGGUUCUGAAGUCCAGGACCUCGGGCUCCUGAGCCCCUGGGCAAAGGGUCCACCUGAAGAAGGCCGGUGUGGAGCGCGACCCUCGGAGCCGCCGCCAGGGUCGCUGCCGCCGCCCCAGCCUGGCGCGCAGACUCCCGGGCAGAGCCCCGCAGCCUCCGGGCACGUCUGUCAGCACCCUUGGGGGCGGAAUUUGGAAAGGGGCAGGGAAAGGGAAGAAAGCCGGUGUGCGGGACGGUCCCCACACCUGUGUAAACAAGCCGCGGCUCCGGGCGUCACGUGCCCGCCACCUCGAGCCCGCGCCUGGCCUGUUUUCCUUGGCAAGGCCUCUGAGUGGGAUUCCAGCGAGGAGCCCCAGUGCCCUCUGCCCAGUUCCCAGGCAGGGCCGGGCAGACCCUGGCCGACGCUGCACUUCCGUCCCCAGAAGUACCGGAACGUUCCUGGGACCGAGGAGCAGCCUCCAGUUCUGGAAGCCGUCCCAGAAUUCUGGAAUGUUGGAAUUCAAACAGGCUCCAGCCCAUUUUCCAGAGGAACAGGAGGACAGAGGGGAAGGUUGACCCGGGGAGAGCCACGUCUGGGAGCGCUCCAGGUUGCUGGGGAGCAGGACCUGGGGACAGGUCAGUGUCCACCCCCACUGUCCAGCAACAGCACCCCCAACUCCCUACCAGAGAGCUUACUCCCCAUUUCAGGCCGUGAGGUUUGGGGGAAGCCUGAGGACCCUUGCCUCCAGGGGUGCGCACGUGACCAGCUCCCGCUCCUGUGAUUGGCGCAGUGGCCGUCACGUGCCCAAGCUGACCCAGUGAAGCUCGUCCCGGGACUGGAGUGCCGAGUCGGAGAAGGCAGUGCGGUUUUCCCACUGGACUGAGAAUGAGUGAGGGGAGCCCCAAAGAAGGGGAAGCCCUGCCUGGGUGCUGGUCGGGGCUGAGUUCCUGGAUCCAGCCGUACCUGAAGUCACACACCCUUGGACUCUAAUUACAGAAACUGCUACUGCUCCUGUUUUGGGCUGAAAACAGUUUGAAGUGGCUUUCUCUCCCUUAUUCUGACGGAGCCAUGGGAGGAGGGGAAGGGAAGAGUCCAAGCAGAGGAGAGAGCGUGCGUGGACAGCCAAGGCGGCCACGCGCCGGGGACCCACGUGAGAGGGAGGAGGGGCGAGCUGAGGGGCUGCCAGGUAGUCAAGGGGGAGGAAGGAGCGUCCCCCGUGUGGAAGACGGGGAGUGACUGCACGGUGGGACCCUCAGUCCUGGCUUCCCGCCAGGGGCUCCUCCUCCCGGGCAGGGCCCUGGGGCCUGGCCUCAGAAGCCGCUGCUCUUCCAACUGGCGGGGUGCAGCUGGGGGCCCCACGAGCUGACUGCAGAGGGCCCCCGACAGCUCAGAACCACCGCGGGUCACACGGCAGGAAUCAUUUCCUCUGCAAACCUGUGGUCCCCCCGUGCCGGCUGAGUCCCCUCGGUGAGGGGACGCAUCCUCCGCGCCUGUGGCCGCGGUGACAACUGGCUACCCCGCCAGACGCUGUGUCGAGCUGCAACUCGGAAAAGAGGACCCUGGCCCGAGAGACGGCCUGAGGAGCUGCCCCGGCCCUGUCGCCGGCUCGCGUCUGCCUCCACACACUGACCCCGACCGCUCAUCACGCGGUCGCAUGUCUGAGCCGGUCUGGGUUCUGUCCCCGGCCCUCUGCUCUCCCCGGCGCCAUCCCAGGUUCCUGGCCGCCACCUUCUGGAGUCCGGGUUGUCACCCUUGGGCUGAGGUUUUGAAGGUGCAGACGUGCAGGGCUGGGG